AGUUUUUUGCUUCUGUCUGCCAAUUUUUCCUUUGGGGCACUCAUCAUUUUGAUUACUUAAAUAUGCAUCUUAUGGUAGAAACUGGAACCACUGUCUUGAAUCAAAAGAUGGAAGAAGCUUCUCUUGAAGAUUAAAGGGACACAAGACAGAAGUUGUCUGUGUCCCUGAGGGCUUAGCAGAGGAGACUUGACCUACUUUCUUGGGCUUGUUGUGACAUCUAUUUUGUUUAAGAUGCCUCUCAAUUUUCAUCUUGUUUUGGAAAUGCUGCAAGGGCAAGAGGAUCCUUUUAAUUAUUCAUCAUUUAGAUGCGCUGAAAGAUGAGGUUAUUCUUCUGAAGACAAGAAGGCAACCCAAAGUAUUAAAUUUACAUUUGGUCAGAAAUGCCACACUCCAGAAGAAUGAACAUGCUUGGAAAAUUUUAAUUUUAUUCAUUUACUAACUUAGUGGGAGAGACAAAGACAAGAUAACAAGCAAAUUAAUAAUUGCAUCUUUGGUAACUUUUCUGAAGAAAAUAAACAUUAGACUCGGUCAGAGAAUAAUGGUGAAAAGGUUGCCCUGGAAAAAGUGAUAAGGAACAGCCUUUUUGGGAUGGUGAAUAUGAAGAGUAUGAAUUACAAUGUUCCUGAAAAGCCACUUUCCUGAGAAGAACUGCAACAGAUUUUCAUGAUAUCAAGAAGGCUUUAUGUUCCUGUAAGAAAGUUUGGCUGUAAGUUCCUAUCAAGAUUCUACAAGAUUGUGUGACUGCAAAAAUACCCUUUGAAGUAGUUGGUCCAGAAACACUGAAGGUUUGUAUAGAAGAGACAGACCUUCCACCCUGUCUCUUCUAUCACACAGCAAUGACUGAUAAACUGGAAAAUUUAAAGAAGACAUAAAGGCUAAAUUCCAUGACAAAUCAUGUCAGUGGACUAGUCUAAAUGGAAGUGCAAAACAGUAAGUGUGCACUGAAGUGCAAAACCAACUGAGUUCUACAUGACCGAAUAUAAGCAUAGAUCGCCAGGAAUUCAGCUCCUACAAAGAAAAUUGGAACCAAUGUGUAUUGACCCUUGCCAAAAAGUAGAGACUGUUUUGGCUAUGAAAAUAGUCCUGGUCACAGCUCCCACCAAAAAAUGAAAACUUAAAAAUAAUGAUAAUUUUAAAAGCUGGGAUGUAUUUUUUAGGGCCGAGGAAAGUUUCGCACUGAGUUACUUGAGAUAAUGGGAGAAAACUAAGACAACUGUGCAGCCACCACAGGUAACUCAGGAACUGGAUAGUAUGCCCAGUUAGGAUUAGAGACUUGAGAUGUCUUAUGUAGCAAUAAACUGAGGCUAUCAGUGGCAUGCAAAGUAAACCCAAAGAAAGCAGAAAGGAAAUAAAAAGUACUAAAGGUAAAAUCAGUAAUUUUAAAAAGAAUAUAUAACCCAAUAGAAUCAAAGUUUAGUUCUCCAAA
rnacentral:lncRNA from 1 species